ACUUAUGUAACCUUAGUUAGCCCAUCAUAAACUAAGGUUACCCUUUUGGGUAUCUACACAUUAGUCCUACACUUUAGUAUGACAAUACAUUGGCCCCUUAACAUAAUGUUUAUAAGACCACAUAAUUAGGCCAAACCAAAAGAUAGCACAUAACAUAUAAUAAUCCAUAUAUUGUUCAUAUGUGUGUAGAUAUAAGUCCAUAUAUCUAGAUAUAAAUCCAUAUAUCUUACA
rnacentral:lncRNA from 1 species